rnacentral:lncRNA from 1 species
UCACCAUGACUGGCCCACAGGAUCAUUUUAGAAUGCAAGUCAAAUCAAAUCAUUCUUUAUCGCCACAUUAUAUAUCUUCAAUAGCUUCCCAUUGCUCUUAAGGGAAGGACCAACAUUUAAUAGGUCUAGAAAGCCCCGCAGGAUCUAGCUCCUGCUCUCUCUUCUCCAGCUCCAUUAGUCUCAUGUUCUCAGUCAUUUUUUCUGCUCUUACCUUGUGAUAAAUUGAAUUACUGACACCAAAACUUCAUCCCAGGCUGGUGUGGUGGCUCAUGCCUAUAAUUCCAGCACUUUGUUUGGGAGGCUGAGGCGGGAAGAUCGAGACCAGGAAUUCGAGACCAGUCUGGGUAACAUAGCGAGACCUCAUCUCUCCAAAAAAAAAAAUGAAAAAAAAAAAUCAAAACAACACUUCACAUCCUUGUAUUCAUGCCGUGUGCCUGAGAUUAGGCAAUUUCCCUCUGAUCUUUGACUUUAAGCUUGGUCAUGUGAUCUGCUUUGGCCAAUCAAGGGUGAGCAGAAAUGACUGGGCCAGUUCUGACCCCAGGCUUUUGGAGGCAUUGCUUGUUUGUACUUGUCCUCUCAUGCUUCUGUUACUGCUGUGAGGAGAGCUGGUGUUCCUUUGGCCUGGGGCCCACCCAGAAUGGACACACUUGGGGGCAGACUGGAGCCCACCUUGCAUCUGGAGCUAAGCUGUCAGACCUGCAGCUUGAAGCAGGGCAGCCUGGCUGAGGCCCACCCAGAUCAGCCAACUUGCAAACACAGAAGAAACCAGUGCUUCUUGUGACAGGGUCUCUCUUUGUUGCCUAGGCUGGAGUGCAGUGGAACGAACUUGGCUUAUUGAAGCAUUGACCACCUGGACCCAAGUGAUUCUCCUACCUUAGCCUCUUGAAUAGCUGUGACAACAGGUGUGCACUACCACACCCAGAUAAAUUUUGUAAUUUUUAUAGAGAGGGCAUUUGACCAUGUUGCCCAGGCUGGUCUCAAACUCCUGAGCUCAAGUGAUACUCCUGCCUCGGCCUCCCAAAGUGCUGGGAUUACAGAUGAAGAAAAUGAGGCACUGAGAGAUUACAUAACUUCCCUUGAGUCAUAUUUGCUUGUAAGUGGUAAGGCUGGAUGUUGAACCCAGGACAAAGGGAGCCCAGUGGAGGAUCCCUGGAGGAGCAAAUAGAAGAAACCCAAAAGGGACUUGAAAGCGGGUCCCCUCCCUCACCUGGAUUCCCAGUCCGAAGAGGAGGAAGCAUCCGCCCUCCUUCCCUCCUUCUGACCCACCCAGCCACCCACCCAAGGUGCCAUUAAAGUUAAUUGUUUUUACUGCCAGUUUAACAUAGUCUUGUAAAUCUUUUUACGAUGUGGCCGGGGAACACCGAGCUGCAUGCAGGACUCAAUGGAGUUGGAGCACAGGAGCGUGGCCCCAGAGCUAUCUGGAGGGUGUAAAAUGGGAGCGCCACGUCUCUCCAGGGGCACCCUCUUCCCUCCUCCUGGAGCACCAGGCCCAAGACCCUCAUCUGAGUGGCAGUUCUCCCAGGCGAGGCUAGGAUUGUGCCUGGAAUGCUAAGAUCCUCCAGGUCACCCCCACUGUUUCGAGAGGCCAUCCCUCUUGACUCUAAGUUGUGGAAUCCUCCAGAAUCCGAGGCCUCCAAGCCCUGGAGAGAGGUUCUGGAUCCUUCAGAAAGGUUGAGGGGUGAUUCCCAUAUAGAAAGCUUGGCGCUGGGUCUCUCCAUUUGCCCACCAAGGACCGGCAGGCAAAAGCACUGCAAGGUGGACGUUUAGGGGUAUGAGGGGCGCACAUUCCAUGGCGCAGGGACUCUGGAGGUGCAGGUCUUCUACGAAGGUGAUUCCGCCAUUUCCCAGCCAUUACCAGCGGAGAGAGCUGAGUCUUCCUGAACAGCGCCUUUAAGCUGGUUUGUCCCAGGUUGGUGGAGCGGGACUCAGCGGUUUCUGUCCCUUGGGUAGACCUUGGCUUCCAUCUGUCUGGGUACAGGCACGAUUUCCCUCUCCCGGUUCCUGGCAUCCCCAUUGUGAGCCAUCCAUGUCAAAAUAAGGGUCUUAACUCCCACCGUUGUCACUAGCAUUAAACAGACACUCCUAAUGUGCCCAGAAAAAUGCCAGGCGCACGCUAAACAUCUGUAAACCACGGUGACAGCUCUAAGCGUUCAUGAUUAAGCCCAAAUAUUUAUUAGGCACUGGUGUGCAAGCCUUGUGUAAGUGCUGAGGACACACAGAGAAGAACGACGUACUUUCCUCUAAAGAGGGUUUUUUGUUAUUGACAAAGGAACCUAGAGGGCAUCAACGCAACACACAGAGCAGUCCUUCCCAAAACAUACCCCGGGAACCGGUUAGAAAUGCGCAUUCUCAGGCCCAGCUGAGACCAAUUGAAUGAGGUGUCCGGGAGCGGGGCCCAGAAUUCCUGUUUUAACAAAGCCCCCACGUGAUUGUGAGCUCCUUAAGGUUCGAGAACCCUGAUGCAGUGAACGCAGGCGCAGGCUCUGGAGUGAGAAAUUGUGGGUUUUCAUCUCCUUGCAUCUAUGUUGUGGGGCUUUGACCAAGAAAUGGUAACAAACUCAGAAGGGGAGAAGGGGAAAGAGAGUGGAUGGAGUAGGGGCGGUGAGAAGGAAGACAAGGGAAUAACCAGCCCUCUUCCCAACAGGGCUUCCUCGAUCAGAGGCCGAAUUUCCGAGCAGGAUAGACCAGGGGGCUCGAACUAAUAAUUCUGAGGGGUCAGAAAGGCCUCUCAAAACGCGCCGCGAUUUGAAACCUGCAAACGCGGGGUUCAGGUCGGCUCCGUUUCUUCCAAGCAGCCUGCCUUUGGGGCACCCAACCCUUCCCAAGCCUCGGUUUUCCCGAUCUUGUGGGAUCCUUGCGGCGCGAAUGGGGUUGGAAGCACCUUGGAAGCUACAGAGUACCGGGUCGGGACAAUUUCCGGCACUGCCCCAGUUCAGUGGUUUAUAGAAAAUUUCUUUCUCUCUCUCAGGUCCACUAAGACCGAGAGAGAGAGAGAAGUCGACUCUGGCACACCCGGGCGAGGGGCUGCCGGGAUUCGGGAGCUGGCGCGGUUGAUUUUUUCCGAGAAUCCUCCACUUGGGGUGACGUCGGGCAGCGCGCGCGGGCCGUGAGGUUAAUGCCCAGGCUUUUCUCUAAAGCGUCCGGGAAUGAUCCGGCGAAUAAAA